rnacentral:rRNA from 1 species
GAGCCAGCAGCCGCCGUGGUAAUACGUAGGGUGCGAGCGUUAAUCGGAAUUACUGGGCGUAAAGCGUGCGCAGGCGGUUUUGUAAGACAGGCGUGAAAUCCCCGGGCUCAACCUGGGAACUGCGCUUGUGACUGCAAGGCUAGAGUACGGCAGAGGGGGGUGGAAUUCCACGUGUAGCAGUGAAAUGCGUAGAGAUGUGGAGGAACACCAAUGGCGAAGGCAGCCCCCUGGGUCGAUACUGACGCUCAUGCACGAAAGCGUGGGUAGCAAACAGGAUUAGAUACCCUGGUAGUCCACGCCC